UACGAAGGGGGCUAGCGUUGCUCGGAAUCACUGGGCGUAAAGGGUGCGUAGGCGGGUUUCUAAGUCAGAGGUGAAAUCCUGGAGCUCAACUCCAGAACUGCCUUUGAUACUGAAGAUCUUGAGUCCGGGAGAGGUGAGUGGAACUGCGAGUGUAGAGGUGAAAUUCGUAGAUAUUCGCAAGAACACCAGUGGCGAAGGCGGCUCACUGGCCCGGUACUGACGCUGAGGCACGAAAGCGUGGGGAGCAAACAGG
rnacentral:rRNA from 1 species